rnacentral:rRNA from 1 species
UACAGAGAGUGCGAGCGUUAAUCGGAAUUACUGGGCGUAAAGCGCACGUAGGUGGGUAUUUAAGUCGAAUGUGAAAGCCCUGGGCUUAACCUGGGAAUUGCAUCCGAUACUGGAUACCUAGAGUAUGGUAGAGGGAAGUGGAAUUUCCGGUGUAGCGGUGAAAUGCGUAGAUAUCGGAAGGAACACCAGUGGCGAAAGCGGCUUCCUGGACCAAUACUGACACUCAGGUGCGAAAGCGUGGGGAGCAAACAGG